AUGGAGUAUUAUGAACAAACACAUGAUGAAAAUCCGGAGGAGGAUGACGAGGAAACCCUUGGUAGGGGCAAGAGACAAAGGACUGCAAAGACCUUUGGUGAUGAUUUCUUCGUGUACCUCGUGGAUGAUACUCCCACUUCUAUUUCAGAAGCAUAUGCCUCUCCAGAAGCUGACUACUGGAAGGAUGCGGUCCGUAGCGAGAUGGAUUCCAUCAUGGCUAACGGGACAUGGGAGAUCACUGACCGUCCCUAUGGUUGCAAACCACUGGGAUGUAAGUGGGUGUUCAAAAAGAAGCUUAGGCCCGAUGGUACGAUUGAAAAGUACAAGGCUAGGCUUGUGGCCAAGGGCUAUGACCAGCAAGAAGAGGAAGAUUUCUUUGAUACUUAUUCACCUGUGGCUAUACUGACAACCAUUCGAGUAUUACUCUCGUUGGCGGCGUCACAUGGUCUUCUCGUCCAUCAGAUGGAUGUUAAGACGGCUUUUCUAAAUGGAGAGCUAAAGGAGGAAAUCUACAUGCAACAGCCUGAUGGCUUUGUGAUAGAUGGUCAGGAAAGAAAGGUGUGUAGGUUGAUAAAAUCUUUAUAUGGCCUGAAACAAGCACCUAAGCAAUGGCAUGAUAAGUUUAAUACAACUCUGACAUCUGUUGGUUUCGUUGUUAAUGAGGCUGACAAAUGUGUAUACUAUCGCCAUGGUGGGGGCGAAGGAGUUAUACUGUGCUUGUAUGUUGAUGACAUACUGAUAUUUGGAACAAACCUCAAAGUCAUUGAGGAGGUCAAAUCGUUUCUAUCUCAGAACUUUGAGAUGAAAGACCUUGGUGUGGCUGAUGUUAUCUUGAACAUCAAGCUACUGAGAGAUAAUGAGGGUGGGAUCACACUUCUGCAAUCCCAUUACGUUGAGAAGGUGUUGAGUCGUUUUGGAUAUUCGGACUGCACACCAUCUCAAACACCAUAUGAUCCUAGCGUAUUGAUUCAAAAGUCCAAAGGCAUGGCUAAAGAUCAAUUGAGAUACUCUCAAAUCAUUGGUUCACUGAUGUACCUAGCGAGCGCAACGAGGCCUGACAUCGCGUUUGCUGUGAGCAAACUGAGCCGGUUUGUUUCCAAACCGGGUGAUGUACAUUGGCAUGCUGUUGAGAGAGUUAUGCGCUAUCUGAAAGGUACUAUGAACUAUGGACUUCACUAUACCGGAUACCCGUCGGUACUUGAACGGUAUAGUGAUGCGAAUUGGAUCUCUGAUGCUGAUGAGAUGAAGGCCACAACUGGGUAUAUGUUUACUCUUGGAGGUGGCGCUGUUUCCUGGAAGUCUUGCAAGCAAACGAUCUUAACGAGAUCGACAAUGGAAGCAGAAUUAACGGCAUUAGACACAUCUGGUGUUGAAGCCAGAUGGCUUCGAGAUCUUUUGAUGGACUUGCCAUUGGUUGAUAAACCGGUUCCGGCUAUCCUUAUGAACUGUGACAAUCAGACUGUCAUCACCAAGGUGAAGAGUUCAAAGGACAACAUGAAGUCCACCAAACACAUAAGAAUGAGAUUAAAAGCUGUCAGAAAAUUAAGAAACUCCGGAGUGAUAGCGUUGGACUAUGUCCAUACGGCUAAGAAUCUGGCAGAUCCCUUUACAAAAGGGCUAUCACGUGUUGUGAUAGAUAAUGCAUCGAGGGAGAUGGGUAUGAGACCCACAUGA
rnacentral:rRNA from 1 species